AGCCGCUCGCCUCGCCGCCUCGCUCGCCCCGUCGCGCCCGCCCCGCCCGUCCCGCUCGCCGUGGCCGUGGCCGAUGAUCGCGGCCCCGUCGUCCCGCCCUUCCCGCUCGCCUCCUUCUCUCCCUCCGGUGCCCGCCUCUCUCUCCCUCCCGCGCCCCCUCCCUGUCCCGCCGCCGCCGGCCGCCUCCGCCGCCAUCGCCGCUCGCCCGGGCACCUAUCCACGACCCCGCGACGCCCCUCUCCUCUUCCUCCCGCCUCGCCCCCCCCCCUCUCUCUCUCUCUCCCCCCAAACCCUAACCCUAGCCACCAGCCUCCGCUCCCUGCCGCGUCGUCUCCUCCUCCCCGCCCUCUCGGUCCUCAGCAGGAGGAGCGCAGCUCGCUGCCGCAGCUGCUCCGCGUCGCUGCUCCCUUGUCGAGCUCGCACGCCCCCGUCACCUGGAGGAGCGGCCGCACCAUGGCCGGUGCUCUGCCGCCUCCAAUUUUGGCCCCCGUCUCCACUUCAUUCUUCAUUAGGUUCUCUCUCUCUCUCUCUCUCUCUCUCUCUCUCUCUGACCUCUACUUUUUCCAUGCCUGGGCUUUGCAGGUCACCGCCUGGUGGGUGCUGGCUCGAAGGUGAGCUACACCGUUGAACUAUAUGAAGUAAUCUGCAAAUAAUCCCAGAGAAUCAGGAAAACGACAUGAUGUCAUCUCACUAGCUAAAUAUGUAAAUCUGGUUCAGUGUUCUCUGAAGUUAUACUACGUGGUUCAGUUCCAGUAACAGCCAGAUGAUGGCCCGUUCAGAAACACCUUUUUUCCGUCGUGGGUGCUCUCGCCCCCACUUGCCAAGAUGCCAAGGAUAUGAUUAGGCGCACAUAUACAAGUUUUCAUCGUUGUUGUUCUUGCCUGUUGCCUCCCCCCUCUAUCGCUUCGCUAGGUUCUGUUGUACAGCCAUGCAUCCACAGGAUGGUUGAAAAGCGGGUGGCACAUGUCAAGCUGCGGGAAGCUCAGGGCACGAUCAUCAGCUUCAGCUGCAUCAAUGCAACUCGCUGGUCGAUGGUCCUGCUACCCUAGGUGAUGAGGGGGACGGUACUUCAAGGUAUAUGCUUCUACUUGCCUCCUGUGCUUCCUGUUUGAUCCAUCGAUACCGAAUAAGUGGGUCUGACUGUUUUCCCUCCCUGUAGUGAACUAAGGGGUGUGUCAUUGCUGAUGAGACCCCCUCCCUUUAAAACCAAAAAGGCAAGGCUAGCACUCGGCCUUUUAUCAACCUUUUAAUGGAACUAGGUAUUACUCUUUGUGAAUAUGAAGUCAAAAUUAAUAAUUAAUAAAGGCAAAAUAUACCUUUUAUGUUUAUUCACAGUUGUCAUCACGAAGGUUGCUGAGUCUUUUUGUGGAGAGAAUUCCUUAUUUGACACUCUCUUAAAAUUGUGUUCCUUAUUUGACACUGAAGAAAAUUUUCUUCCCUAUAUGAUCUCUAGUCUUAAUUUUUUUCCCUAUAUGACACUCUAGUGCAUUUUGUUCACGUGAAAAGACCAUUUUACUCAUAUGUAUAAUGUGACCACAAAUAUGUACAAGAUAAUAGUUAUUCCAAAAAAAAAUCAGUCGAGUUAUCCAUAUGUGACAUCAUAUAUGCUGGUAUUGUCAUGCCAGUCGAUUUGCUACUGUUCCGAUUAGAUUGUAUACCUGCAGUAGCAUAUCUGUGGAAAUGAUCCAUGCUACAUUUUGUUAAAUAUGCGAGCACGUCAGCAUGCAUCACCAUGCAACUGUGCAACACGAGGAGCACCGUACGUAUGUAGGUGCGUACGUGCACUGUACGUAUGUAGUUGCGUACGAGGAGCACUGAGGCCUUCAAUGGUUCAUGUGCUAAUUGACCUCACGGUCUGGCUAGUUGUCUAUACGUAUUUGUUACACAAAUACGCGGCCAGCUUGCGGGCCGGAGCGUAGAUAUUUAAAUACGUACGCGCACCUUGACAAUCAAGCAAAUACAUGUAUUCUAGCUUCGUAUGACCCGGUUCAUAUACAUACGCAUGUUGGCUGCACCGAACCAGGCGUACGUUCGUGCUAGCACGCAACUUCCUUCCAUACAGCUAUAGGUCCUGCAUGGGUCAUGCAAAUAGUGCACUAAUGGCAUGCACAUAGGUGAUCACCGAAGCACACACAAAAGUGCUUAAAAAAUUCAUUCAUUUUUAAGAAUGCAUUUUAGUGUUAAAGCACACGUACAAAACUACGUCAAACAGUCGCACUCACAAACUAUAUCGCAUGAAACUAGACCCACAGCUGAAUACGUUCUAAAUACAUUGGAUGCAUGCGCUCAGGUAUACAGAAUACACACGCAUCCCAAAAAAGACCAACGGAGGAGAUAACAUGUUCAGCUGUGCUCACUACGAAUUUUCCCUAAUUAGGCUCAAUGCUACAUAUUUUUGGUCACAUUAUGUACAGGGGCAAAAAGGUCUUUUCACGUGUAUAAAAUGAACUAGAGUGUCAUAUAGGGAAAGGAAUUAAGACUAUAGGUCAUAUAGGGAAGAAAAUUUUUCCAGUUUCAAAUAAGGAACAUGAUUUUAAGGGAGUGUCAAAUAAGGAAUUCUCUCUUUUUUGUACUCACACACCCUGAUCAGUUCUCCUAGAGCAUUGUAAUUAACAAUCACCCGUAGUUGAUUUCAUGACCGGUGGGCUUUCAGCGAAUAAACAAUCAGAAGGAAUCAAUAAGAAUAUAACCCGUUGAGUUCAACAUCCUCCAAUAAUAUAAUCAUGCCUCGAUUGGAAUUAGUACUGCAAUAUAUAACAUCUUCUUUUUUGUAGUUUUUUUAUUUAUAUGUGUCUAUGGUUUUCCAUGAAAAUCCAAAAGGGCCUCGAAGUGUUGGGGCUUGGAUCUGGGGGUGCAUUGGUGAGCCAUCCCUUCUCCCUCACUGGCUUCUCUGUUAUUUUUGUGCAUAUCAUGCCUUGAUUUGUGCUCAGUUGGCGUGAAAUGUGCAAGCAAGCUAUGUGUGCGAUCUACUGCCCGUUAUCAUGCGUCACAAACUACUAUAAAUGCAUAUUAAUGCCCCUUUAUUAUAUAUGUCUACUGCCUUUUACAUUCUCUAGGGCUAAGCCACUACUUUCUUCUAUUGUGUUUUGUUAUACCUUUUAAACAUGCACCGUAUGCCAUAGAUUGGUAUGACAUGUACAACCACUCAUAUGUGCGAAGAGAUGUGACGUAUCUUGAUGUUUUUACUGAACCAUUAUUAUUCUGGGUGCAUAACGAUUGUAUGGUACUAUCAUUUCUUUUAUAUCACUGUUUGCAUCACAAGGUGUUUACGCUAAAACAAGUCUGUUGCUGCAAGUCUUGCAAGAAAUUUGGGUGACAAGGCGUCUGGAUGGAACUAUCUAUCCAUCUAUCUAUCUAUCUAAUAUAGUUUACUACUAUACCAUGUAAAAUCAGUGUCUCCACUACCACUAUGGCUUGGUGUGGUCAUGCUAUGAUGUUAGCGGACACGAAUGUUUAGUGAUAUGUUGAUUCAGGAAA